rnacentral:rRNA from 1 species
UACGUAGGUGGCGAGCGUUGUCCGGAAUCAUUGGGCGUAAAGAGCGCGUAGGCGGCUUGUCAGGUCUGAUGUGAAACCUUGGGGCUCAACCCCAAGCGUGCAUCGGAAACCGGCUUGCUAGAGUCCGGGAGAGGAGAGUGGAAUUCCUGGUGUAGCGGUGAAAUGCGUAGAUAUCAGGAGGAACACCGGUGGCGAAGGCGGCUGCCUGGACCGAUAUUGACGCUGAGACGCGAAAGCGUGGGUAGCAAACAGG